UACGGAGGGUGCAAGCGUUAAUCGGAAUUACUGGGCGUAAAGGGCCCGUAGGCGGCCAACUAAGUCACACGUGAAAUCCCCGGGCUUAACCCGGGAACUGCGUGUGAUACUGGAUGGCUUGAAUUCGGGAGAGGGAUGCAGAAUUCCAGGUGUAGCGGUGAAAUGCGUAGAUAUCUGGAGGAAUACCGGUGGCGAAGGCGGCAGCCUGGACCGACAUUGACGCUGAACGGCGAAAGCUAGGGGAGCAAACGGG
rnacentral:rRNA from 1 species